CCUACGGGUGGCAGCAGUGGGGAAUAUUGGACAAUGGGGGAAACCCUGAUCCAGCAACGCCGCGUGAGUGAAGAAGUAUUUCGGUUUGUAAACCUCUAUCACCAGGGAAGAAAAGGACGGUACCCGCCUAAGACACCCCGGCUAACUAUGUGCCAGAAGCCGCGGUAAUACGUAGGGGGCACGCGUUAUCCGGAUUUAUUGGGGGUAAAGGGGGCGUAGACGGGAGGGCAAGUCUGGAGUGAAAUGCCGGGGCCCAACCCCGGAACUGCUCUGGAAACUGUGAAGCUGGAGUGCAGGAGAGGUAAGCGGAAUUCCUGGUGUAGCGGUGAAAUGCGUAGAUAUCAGGAGGAACACCGGCGGCGAAGGCGGCUUACUGGACUGUAACUGACGUUGAGGCUCGAAGGCGUGGGGAGCAAACAGGAUUAGAUACCCCAGUAGUC
rnacentral:rRNA from 1 species